AAAGAAGGCGGUUGCUCCCAAGAUUGCUAAACAAGAGUCCAGUGAUGAUGACACUAGCGAUGAGACCUCUGAAUCUGAUGAGGAACCUGCAAAGAAGCCUGCUGCUAAACCCUUGGCUGCAGUUGC